UACGUAGGGGGCGAGCGUUGUCCGGAUUUAUUGGGCGUAAAGGGUUCGUAGGCGGCCGAUUAAGUCAGGUGUGAAAGGUCACGGCUUAACCGUGGUAAGCACUUGAAACUGGUUGGCUUGAGUUAAGGAGAGGGAAGUGGAAUUCCUGGUGUAGCGGUGAAAUGCGUAGAUAUCAGGAGGAAUACCAGUGGCGAAGGCGACUUCCUGGCCUUAAACUGACGCUGAGGAACGAAAGCGUGGGGAUCAAACA
rnacentral:rRNA from 1 species